AGGGAAUCUUCCACAAUGGACGAAAGUCUGAUGGAGCAACGCCGCGUGAGUGAUGAAGGUUUUCGGAUCGUAAAACUCUGUUGUAAGGGAAGAACCAGUACGUCAGGCAAUGGACGUACCUUGACGGUACCUUAUUAGAAAGCCACGGCUAACUACGUGCCAGCAGCCGCGGUAAUACGUAGGUGGCAAGCGUUGUCCGGAAUUAUUGGGCGUAAAGCGCGCGCAGGCGGGAAUGUAAGUCUGUCUUAAAAGUUCGGGGCUCAACCCCGUGAUGGGACAGAAACUAUAUUUCUUGAGUGCAGGAGAGGACAGUGGAAUUCCCAGUGUAGCGGUGAAAUGCGUAGAUAUUGGGAGGAACACCAGUGGCGAAGGCGACUGUCUGGACUGUGUCUGACGCUGAGGCGCGAAAGCCAGGGUAGUGAACG
rnacentral:rRNA from 1 species